GGUUAUUAUGGAAGACAAGUAUUUCACUUACCAACUCUUUUUUAACAGGCUGGAGUCAAAGGAAAAUUAGGCAGACUCCUGGGAAUAUUUGAGCAGAAUCAAGACCGGAAGCACAGAACAUAUGUUUAUGUUCUGACAGUCACUGAAAUAUUGGAAGACUGGGAAGACUCUGUUAACAUAGGGAGGAAGAGAGAGUGGUUCAAAGUGGAAGACGCAAUCAAGGUUCUUCAGUGUCACAAGCCUGUCCACGCAGAGUACCU
rnacentral:lncRNA from 1 species